UGCAGACAGGCAGGAAGGCUGGUGACUGGAGGGGGGGGACCACAUUAAUAAAGUAGAAAUCAUUUAUUUUUAAUUCUCCACUGAGAUCUAAUUACUGCCUAUUUUUAAGACUUGGGAGAAAAAAAAAAAGAUAGAAGUCGCCCAGCACUCAUGGAAUUGAACGAAUCAGUCAUAGCAUGGGCAGAGAAAAUACUAUGAGAGGCCUAACCAGUGUGAGAGAGUUUGCUGGUUGGGGUGGAGGGCCGGUGGAUGACUGUCACACCAGAGACCAGGCUUCACAUCCAGAGAUUCAUCUUUUUUUAACAUAAGCUGUAACUGCCACAGACUAAUUGUUGUAACGGCUGACAAAAGAAGAGACCCUCCUCCAAACUCCAAGUAUCCCUCUUGCCACAGCUCCAUGGACACUUCAACAUGAGGAGAAAUACAAAGCCUGACAGGCCUGCCAUGCCGAGUUAAGGUUGCUCAGGUGGCUGUCCACCGGGGAGGCGUCUACAGCGUGUCUGUGUUGAACCCCACCCCCCGUGUUGGCCUGCACUCCCAGACCAUCUGCCAGUCAGAGAACAAGCCCAAGCCACUAUGAUGCUGGCCCAUUGUUUGUCAUCGUCCAUUGAAUUCUCAGUAAAAACCGUCUUGGGACAGAAGCCAUGCCAAAGAAUCACAUUAACAUUUUCUUUCACC